rnacentral:rRNA from 1 species
GACGAACGCUGGCGGCGUGCUUAACACAUGCAAGUCGAACGAAGAGCGAUGGAAGCUUGCUUCUAUCAAUCUUAGUGGCGAACGGGUGAGUAACGCGUAAUCAACCUGCCCUUCAGAGGGGGACACCAGUUGGAAACGACUGCUAAUACCGCAUACGAUCUAAUCUCGGCAUCGAGGAUGGAUGAAAGGUGGCCUCUACAUGUAAGCUAUCACUGAAGGAGGGGAUUGCGUCUGAUUAGCUAGUUGGAGGGGUAACGGCCCACCAAGGCGAUGAUCAGUAGCCGGUCUGAGAGGAUGAACGGCCACAUUGGGACUGAGACACGGCCCAGACUCCUACGGGAGGCAGCAGUGGGGAAUCUUCCGCAAUGGACGAAAGUCUGACGGAGCAACGCCGCGUGAGUGAUGACGGCCUUCGGGUUGUAAAGCUCUGUUAAUCGGGACGAAAGGCCUUCUUGCGAAUAGUGAGAAGGAUUGACGGUACCGGAAUAGAAAGCCACGGCUAACUACGUG